GCUGAAGAACGCAGCGAAAUGCGAUAAGUAAUGUGAAUUGCAGAAUUCAGUGAAUCAUCGAAUCUUUGAACGCACAUUGCGCCCGCCAGUAUUCUGGCGGGCAUGCCUGUUCGAGCGUCAUUACAACCCUCAGGCCCCCGGGCCUGGCGUUGGGGAUCGGCGGAGCCCCCCGUGGGCACACGCCGUCCCCCAAAUGCAGUGGCGGUCCCGCCGCAGCUUCCAUCGCGUAGUAGCUAACACCUCGCGACUGGAGAGCGGCGCGGCCACGCCGUAAAACACCCAACUCUUCUGAAGUUGACCUCGAAUCAGGUAGGAAUACCCGCUGAACUUAAGCAUAUCAAUAAGCGGAGGA
rnacentral:misc_RNA from 1 species